rnacentral:rRNA from 1 species
CCUACGGGUGGCAGCAGUGAGGAAUAUUGGUCAAUGGGCGUAAGCCUGAACCAGCCAAGUAGCGUGCAGGAUGACGGCCCUACGGGUUGUAAACUGCUUUUAUACGGGGAUAACAUGCCUUACGUGUGGGGUUUUGCAGGUACCGUAUGAAUAAGGACCGGCUAAUUCCGUGCCAGCAGCCGCGGUAAUACGGAAGGUCCGGGCGUUAUCCGGAUUUAUUGGGUUUAAAGGGAGCGUAGGCCGCAUGUUAAGCGUGCUGUGAAAUGUCGGGGCUCAACCCGGGCCUUGCAGCGCGAACUGGCUUGCUUGAGUCCGCGGAAGGCAGGCGGAAUUCGUGGUGUAGCGGUGAAAUGCUUAGAUAUGACGAAGAACCCCGAUUGCGAAGGCAGCUUGCGGCAGCGGAACUGACGCUGAUGCUCGAAAGCGCGGGUAUCGAACAGGAUUAGAUACCCGGGUAGUC